rnacentral:rRNA from 1 species
CUACGGGUUGCUGCAGUAGGGAAUAUUGGACAAUGGGCGAAAGCCUGAUCCAGCAACACCGCGUGCACGAUGACGGCCUUCGGGUUGUAAAGUGCUUUAGAGGGGAUGAGAAAGGACAGUAUCCUCUGAAUAAGCCUCGGCGAACUACGUGCCAGCAGCCGCGGUAAAACAUAGGAGGCAAGCGUUAGCCGGAUUUAUUGGGCGUAAAGCGCGUGCAGGCGGUCUAGCAAGUUGGAUGUGAAAGCUCCCGGCUCAACUGGGGGAGGUCGUUCAAUACUGUUAGACUAGAGAAUAGGAGAGGGAGGUGGAAUUCCGGGUGUAGUGGUGAAAUGCGUAGAUAUCCGGAGGAACACCAGUGGCGAAAGCGGCCUCCUGGACUAUUUCUGACGCUAAGACGCGAAAGCUAGGGUAGCAAACGGGAUUAGAUACCCUAGUAGUC